AGCAGGGCAAUUAUGGUCUGUCAUUAAAUAUAUCUCUAUCGUCUACCGAAAGUGGAAUUAUAUUGUAGCUCAAAGCAUACUAAAGUUAUAAAUCGGGGUUUAAUAAAAUGAACGCGUCGAUAGAUAAAUGAUAAGUGUGUGAGUGACCACUGUUGUCUUUUAUAAAAAUCCGUUCAAUAGCUGCCUUUAUUUCAUUGCGGGAUGUGUUUUGGAACAAUAAAAUGCACGGAUUUUUCAAAUUGACAGCUGUGACACCUGUCAAAGUUUGAUUUGACAUAUUGACAAAUGUCACAUACACCCGAAAAACAUAGAAGUCAAAGAUGAAAGUAAGUUGUGUGUUGUAAAAACUAAAGGAAUUCCACCAAAAAUGUUGAUGCAAGACGGACAAGCGGGCAGGAGAAUGAUAGUGAAAUAUUUAAGAGGAUACGUACCCGGGAGUACAAACGUUUACGAUAAUAUCGUUAUCUCUAUCGCUCUUCAAUAUUGGCGCGACAGAGCCAGACUGUGUUUCAAUCGGCGUCUAGCGACGGCGAAUUUCCUCUGAGCAAUUCAGUCAGGGUAUGCUGCAAACAUACCAAGGAGCCAACAAGGAAUGUUGCUAGGCUUGCCGCGAGAGAUGUGAAAUGCCAUGACACAAAUUUUAAGUGGCCAUGACAUAUACUCAACAACAGCGGGCACUACAAGGCUCUGGCAUAGAGUACCUAGAGCAUGGAAUGAGGCCACCAUUGCAUAGUUAAAUAUGAUGGGGCUCCUUCUUGUUAUACUUUCUACAGCUGCAGAAAAAGAAAAACAAUGUAACACUGAACCAGUGAGGUGUAAUUGAACUAAAUGCCAUAAAACCAACUUGUUUGAAAUAGGUCCAGAAAAGUUAUAAGUUCAUGGUAUAUUAGAAAACACUCAAGAUGUCGAGGAAACACAAGAAGUUGAUGUCGAUCUAAUCAGAGAUAUUAAUUAUUAGAAAUGAAUGUAUUUGAAAUACAAAUAUAAAAUACCUAUUUUCAAUUUUAAAUACUUUUAUCAAAAACUAUUUUGUAUUUUAUUUCAAAUACUAUAAAGUGGAUGUGUUUUGCAUUUUUCUAAACUUUAAAAUACAAAAUUCUUUUUUCACCACACCAACUGGUAGAAGCUCUCUUCAUUCUCCAAAAAACGGAUGAGAAAGUUGAAUUUUAUCCGCAAGAUUGCAAAGUUGUUUCAUACAGAUUUUAACUUGUCCUAAGCUGGCUGGUAGAUUUUGCCUUUUAAGUAGGUAUGGUGUUUUUGAAUCAUAUCAUACCUACUCGCAUAUGUUUAAUAAAUUGAUGAUUUUGAUUUAGGUACAGUUAGUAUUUUCCUCGUAUUGCUAUGGUGAAAAAAUUGGUGUUUCCCUCGGGGCAAAAUUUGUAUAACCAUUGUGCCUUGAAACCCUCGCAACGCUCAAAACUAAUAGAGCUGCACCUAAGAAAGGUUACUUGUUAGAUUAGUUUGUUUGUUUUUGCACUUCUUCGUUACUUUAUGUAAACUGUAUUAAGUUGUGACAAUAAAGAUUAUUAAUUCAAUAUUUUUAUACGACAUACAUAAAAAAUAUGGAAAUAUAUGGAGAAUGGCUCUAAUUUCCAGUUAUCUGAACUUGUGAAAGUUUUAACAGUGCAGAACUUAAUUUCAAUGACCGAAGAGCUGGCGACUUCCUCACACAACUUAUCAGCAUUGCGGUACAGCGAGGGAUACAAUGCCUUAAGGGCCUAUUUUAGACAUUAGGUUUAGAAAAAGAUAAUGUACAUUUCUGUGAUGAAAAAUAGUGUAUUUAUAUUUUCUUUAAUUUAUAUUUUUCUGGGUUUUGUAACACAACAGUACAGUACAUUUUAACUCAGAACCUAUAUACAAAUGUCUUAAGUACAUUUUACACCUACUGUACCUGAAAUUUACAUACUAAUGUUUU
rnacentral:lncRNA from 1 species